rnacentral:misc_RNA from 1 species
GUAACAUUUAAUAUAGUGAUUAUAGGAUAUUAUUAUAUAUAUAAAAAUGUAAUCUUUUAUUAUAGAGAGUAAUGAGGAUGAUGUAGUUUUUGUGUUCCUUCCCUUCUUCUCCUUUCUUUUCUUUCUUAACAUGCUAUCAGAUCAAACACUGUCUGCGCCACUCUGUUUUUUUCCUAUUUGAUUUUAAACACCGUGUUUCCCAAGAGAGACCCCUUGUCAUCCUAAGGUCACAGUCCUAAGCUGGCCAUCUGAGCUCACUGCCCCCCCUGAAAGGAAGCUCUGCCGCUUGCUGCCUCUUACGUGUGGAUCUCACACACCCUUUUGUGCCUCGUUUCACGUGCCCUGCGUGGACCUGCAUUUAGUGUUUUCCGGUGUCAUCCGGCAGUCCUUCCUCUUGUUCAGGCGUCACCUCAACAUCCUCAGUUUAGCCCAAUGAGCUGUUGUUUGGUCUGAAUCAAUUUUAGAUGCUUCAGAGUGUGGGCAUUCUUCUUAGGUUCUAAUGUAGGGAACUUCUUGGUUUCUUUUUUAUCCAAGUUCUUAUUUGUUUGUUAUUUGCUAGAUUGAGUUGCUGAGGAUUGGGUAUAAUUUACUGGAUUGAUUUCUUAAGAAUUGGGUACUGUUGAUUGCUGUUAGGUGCAUAUUUUUUACUGUUUUGGUGUCUCUAUCUUGGUGUUGCUUCUUUGUUGAUUGAGGUUGGUAUUUUGUUUCUCUAUUUCCUAUUGCUGCAAUUCUUCUAAGGACACUGUCAGUCCUUGUUUGAGUUGGUGGCCUACCAUUUGUUGAAGUUUGGACAGCAAGUUGUUUGGGUAAGAUUCACCUACUGUAUUGUUGUUUUUUCUUGCCGGCAUUGCCUUCAGAGAAGGUUUGCUUUUGGUGUUUGUUCCUUUGUGUAGGCGUUUCUAAAUUUGGUAUGUUACUAUUACUUUGUGUUUUUGAAAUUGAGGGAUCGCUGGACUUGUAUUGUUACUUUGUGUUAUUGAACUUGAGGGAUCAAUCGCUGGACUUGUAUUGUUAUUUUGUGUUAUUGAACUUGAGGGAUCAAUCGCUGGACUUGUAUUGUUAU